AUUGAACGCUGGCGGGAUGCUUUACACAUGCAAGUCGAACGAGCGGCGGACGGGUGAGUAAUGUCUGGGGACUGCCCGAUGGAGGGGGAUAACUACUGGAAACGGUAGCUAAUACCGCAUACUAUCGGAUAACCCAUAUGGGAUUAGCUAGUAGGUGAGGUAAUGGCUCACUUAGGCGACGAUCCCUAGCUGGUCUGAGAGGAUGAGCAGCCACACUGGGACUGAGACACGGCCCAGAAUCCUACGGAGGCAGCAGUGGGGAAUAUUGCACAAGGGGCGCAAGCCUGAUGCAGCCAUGCCGCGUGUAUGAAGAAGGCCCUAGGGUUGUAAAGUACUUUCAGUCGGGAGGCGUUACCGACAGAAGAAGCACCGGCUAACUCCGUGCCAGCAGCCGCGGUAAUUC
rnacentral:rRNA from 1 species